CAGUCGCCGCGGUAAUACGUAGGGUGCGAGCGUUAAUCGGAAUUACUGGGCGUAAAGCGUGCGCAGGCGGUUUUGUAAGACAGAGGUGAAAUCCCCGGGCUCAACCUGGGAACUGCAUUUGUGACUGUAUAGCUAGAGUACGGCAGAGGGGGAUGGAAUUCCGCGUGUAGCAGUGAAAUGCGUAGAUAUGCGGAGGAACACCGAUGGCGAAGGCAAUCCCCUGGGCCUGUACUGACGCUCAUGCACGAAAGCGUGGGGAGCAAACAGGAUUAGAUACCCGCGUAGUCCCUGUCUCUUAUAC
rnacentral:rRNA from 1 species